GGAUCCAUAAGCUCAAAAUGGUAAGAGCGCCCAAAUUGGCGUUGGGAGGAUAGUGGUUCAAAUCCACUUGGAUCCU